rnacentral:rRNA from 1 species
CCUACGGGAGGCAGCAGUGAGGAAUAUUGGUCAAUGGACGAGAGUCUGAACCAGCCAAGUAGCGUGAAGGAUGACUGCCCUAUGGGUUGUAAACUUCUUUUAUAUGGGAAUAAAAUGUUCCACGUGUGGGAUUUUGUAUGUACCAUAUGAAUAAGGAUCGGCUAACUCCGUGCCAGCAGCCGCGGUAAUACGGAGGAUCCGAGCGUUAUCCGGAUUUAUUGGGUUUAAAGGGAGCGUAGGUGGAUUGUUAAGUCAGUUGUGAAAGUUUGCGGCUCAACCGUAAAAUUGCAGUUGAAACUGGCAGUCGUGAGUACAGUAGAGGUGGGCGGAAUUCGUGGUGUAGCGGUGAAAUGCUUAGAUAUCACGAAGAACUCCGAGUGCGAAGGCAGCUCACUGGACUGCAACUGACACUGAGGCUCGAAAGUGUGGGUAUCAAACAGGAUUAGAUACCCCUGUAGUC